GUACACUCCUACGGGAGGCAGCAGUGGGGAAUUUUGGACAAUGGGCGAAAGCCUGAUCCAGCAAUGCCGCGUGCAGGAUGAAGGCCUUCGGGUUGUAAACUGCUUUUGUACGGAACGCAAAAGCUCCUUCUAAUACAGGGGGCCCAUGACGGUACCGUAAGAAUAAGCAACGGCUAACUACGUGCCAGCAGCCGCGGUAAUACGUAGGGUGCGAGCGUUAAUCGGAAUUACUGGGCGUAAAGCGUGCGCAGGCGGUUAUGUAAGACAGAUGUGAAAUCCCCGGGCUCAACCUGGGAACUGCAUUUGUGACUGCAUGGCUAGAGUACGGUAGAGGGGGAUGGAAUUCCGCGUGUAGCAGUGAAAUGCGUAGAUAUGCGGAGGAACACCGAUGGCGAAGGCAAUCCCCUGGACCUGUACUGACGCUCAUGCACGAAAGCGUGGGGAGCAAACAGGAUUAGAAACCCGAGUAGUCCCA
rnacentral:rRNA from 1 species